UGAGGCUUCCCAGUCAUCAGGAGUGUCAAGAGGUACUGGACUAAUGCAUGGCUGGCAAGGCCAUUGGCACAUGGGAUACAAGUGUCCACAUGCACCCCCGGGCUCUGGGAGUGAUUGCCAGAAGCUGUGAGGCUGCAGCAAGGAAAGGAUCAGUCUACACAUGGAUCACUCUCUUCUAUGAGCAUCUGGUACUGGUCCUGUUGCAAGAUAAGAUGUGAGGCUGGAGGGCUCUGUGGUGUGGCUGUAUCAGGCUUUAUUGAGUAAUGUGUGAAUCCUCUUACCUCAGUGGAUCCAGUGAAAGCAAUUUUAUCAAUGCCAACGUGAGAGGCUAUGGCUGCACCAACAAUUGGACCAAAUCCUGGCAAAAUAUUGACAACUCCUGGUGGAAAACCAGCCUGUCAAAAUAGGAAUGAGUGAAGGAAUGGUCAUUCCAUGGAUUUUGUCUGCCCAACCAGCAUAAUACCUCAGGGUUUUUAUGACUCCCUGGAGAUCUACAUAGAAAGCUUGCAAAAACGGUUUGCCACUGUUCAGUGAUUCCAUAGUCUGCA